rnacentral:rRNA from 1 species
GCGUGCUUAACACAUGCAAGUUCGAACGAUGAAACCUAGCUUGCUAGGUGGAUUAGUGGCGCACGGGUGAGUAAUGGAUAGGUUACCUGCCUCAUAGUCUGGGACAACAAUUGGAAACGAUUGCUAAUACCGGAUAUUCCCUACGGGGGAAAGAUUUAUCGCUAUGAGAUGGGCCUAUCUCCUAUCAGCUAGUUGGUAAGGUAAUGGCUUACCAAGGCAAUGACGGGUAGCUGGUCUUAGAGGACGAUCAGCCACACUGGAACUGAGACACGGUCCAGACUCCUACGGGAGGCAGCAGUGGGGAAUAUUGCACAAUGGGGGAAACCCUGAUGCAGCAACGCCGCGUGGAGGAUGACGCAUUUCGGUGUGUAAACUCCUUUUAUCAAGGAAGAAAUUUGACGGUACUUGAUGAAUAAGCACCGGCUAACUCCGUGCCAGCAGCCGCGGUAAUACGGAGGGUGCAAGCGUUACUCGGAAUUACUGGGCGUAAAGGACGCGUAGGCGGUUUGAUAAGUUAGAUGUGAAAUCCUAUGGCUUAACCAUAGAACUGCAUCUAAAACUGUCAAACUAGAGUGAGGGAGAGGU